rnacentral:rRNA from 1 species
GACGAACCAUGCAAACGUUAUUCGGAUUCACUGGGCUUAAAGCGUGCGUAGGCGGUCUUGUUAGUCAGGUGUGAAAGCCCUCAGCCUAACUGAGGAAUUGCGCUUGAUACUGCAUGACUAGAGAAUGAUAGAGGUGGGUGGAACUGAUGGUGGAGCGGUGAAAUGCGUUGAUAUCAUCAGGAACACCAGUGGCGAAGGCGACCCACUGGGUCAUUUCUGACGCUGAGGUACGAAAGCUAAGGGUAGCGAACGGGG